GAUGAAAAAAGCUGAAUCAGAGGGCACUAUCAUCGAUAAUAAACCUGAGCCCCCCACCCACAUUUAUGAAGCCCCGGACCAUGUCCACCUCAUCAGAUACGAGACGUCCGGUCCGACAGAAUGUGUCCGCACAUGAGUCAGCUGGGAAACCUGCUCUGCCUCCUAAGCCAAUAAUUAAGCGAGGCCCAACCCCACCUCCCACUAUCUCCAGUCAUCUACACCUGAGAAUGACCUAGCCCAAAUACAGGAA